UUGUUCUUGUUCAGUCGACAAGUGCAUGACAUCAACGGAGAGAGACUAUUACAUAGCUCUCUUUAGUAUUAUCGGAGGUACAUUUGUUGUUAUCGUUAUGUCGGUGUUUGGAUCGUGGGCGUCGUGUAAGGAUAAGUGCUACUGCUGUGGAGCAGAGGACAGAAACUACAACGUCAACUCCGUACGCGGACGCACAAACAUUUUGCCCAUGAGCUCAACGAAUGUUGGCUACUAUUAAUUGAAGCCCGAGGAGGGAGUGGUGACUAGAGUCGUCUGUUUUAAAAACSUUUUAGGAAUUUUUCUCUGUAUAUCAUUAAAACAGCGAACUUUAUUAUGUUAUUAGAAUAUCCCAUUUUUCCAGUUUUUGAAGAGGCUCUGGAAUGGGGUGUCCUUUUGACGGUUGACAGUUAAAAAACGGCAGCGAUUUGACGGUUGGCGGUUUAAAAUUUUGUCCAUAUGACGGUUGGCGGUUAACACCUUUGAGACCCUCUUUAAAUCAGAAUUGGGAGUUGUUCACUGUCAAUGAKGAUUCAUCUCCAGUCUUUUCUGUUCCCAAAUUUAGGGGAGGUUACUGAGGUAUUAUUCGGCUGUCAAGUUGAUAGAUGAUAAUAUUUAACUUAAAUAUAGUUAGACAUUAAAUUUAUAUAUCAUCAGUCUGUAAAUAUAAUUUGUUUUAGUGACAACUGAGAAAAUUCUAGAAUUUCUCAUACUAACUAUGAAAUUCUUAAUGAAAACACUGAAAUAUUCAAGAUGGCGGUCUUAUAAUCGCACAUAAUUUUUUUAUUUUUUGUCAGUUUGCAUGGAUUAAUGGAUUACUUAUCAUUAUCACGAGACGCUGUAUUAAAUAUGAUUGACUGACAAGAUUAAUGUUAAAAUAUUCUAAAAACGAACUUCGAAACCGAAAUGUCUUUUCUUUUGAUCACAAAAAGAAACCUAAAAAAUCUAAGCAUUUUUAUUCGCCUUAKUUCCUUAGCUUCAAAGUGAUAAUCUUUGUUUUUAUAUCCUUAGCUAUUAUAUCAGAAAUUUCUGAAUAAAGUAAUUAAACUAUA